CCCAGACGGGCUUGGAAUGAACUGUGCAGCAGGAGAUAAGCUUGAACUCAGAACCUCUUGCUUCUUCCACUGAGUACUGGGAUCACAGGCACGUCCCAUCAUGCCAUCAGUUUAUCUUAUGUGCUAGGGAUUGAAGCCAGGGCUUUGUGAAAGCUGGGCAUUCUAAGAGGUCAUCCACACCGCCGGGAUGAAUUCUGGAAACUGCACAGAAACUAUAGAGUCCUUUGAGAUUGAUCAGACCUUGCCACUCUCCAGAAGCAAAAUGGGUGCUAACCCCUCAACUGGUGAACCCACUAAGACCCAACUAAGACCAUCAAUGCUCCUUGGGGGCCAUUCUCUGGACCCUCAGCCCUUCCCUAAUCCCUGGAGAGACCUUUGAAGCUACUCAGCAUUUGCAUGAUCACUCACUCACUCACUCAGCAUCCCUGACCCCUUCACCUUGACCUCUGUGAUGCUCCUGUUUUCUGCCAGUUUGUGUUCAGGUCUUUUGGAGUAGUCCAGGCUCGGAACCCAGAAUCCUCCUGCCUCUUCCUCUCCAGCGAUGGCAGUGUGUUUACCUAAUGUAGUGAGAAGAUCAGCACUCAGUGUACAAGUGGAGACAGUAGCUCCUGACAGCCCAUGAUGCACACGUGGAAGGGAUCUGAGGAGAAUGCUGCUCCACAGAGCGCUUCGGGAUGUAAAACACAUGUCUGUAAUAUCUUACAGGCUCAUGACUGCAACUUAUCAGGAGGCCAGAUUGCCUUCCCUGGCCUAGGUUUCUUUCUAGGGGACUGCAUUACUAUUUAAUUCCUCUUAGCAAAUGCAACAGGAAACUCUUCAAACUGAAGGCAUGGUGAAUCUCAGCUACUGAAGACUGAUGCAAGACCCUUACUCUUCUCACUCCCUCCCGGAAAUGCAGGAAAGACCUGAGUGCUAAUGUUCUAGUGCAGAACAUCAAAGCAUACUUUGGCUUGAGGCAGGGCACCUCUCUUAUUGAAUAGUUUGCUUCUCAGAAGGGGUAGAACUAAUAUACCUCCCCUUUUAGGUCUGUCGUUGAGUGGUUUCCCUGUGCUUCGUUUAGUUGCUCCCUAAUUGAUGAAAGGAGUGCAUCUUUAGCUCACAGGAAGGACACAAACCUGAGGACUCCCAUCUGUCUUAAACAUAGUUCAACAAGCCCUCUCAAACUACAGUGAGGGUUGGGGGAAGCAAGCUUAGUCUUCUGACCCUAUAAGGACACUAGGGAAUCUUAUAAUUUCAAACCUUCAGGAAUUCUCCAGUGUUCAGAGGCUACUCCACACUUUCUUGCCCAUAUCCCAUGGAACUGCCUUUCUACUGCCCUGGCAAUUUCCAAUUGCCGCAAUAAAAUACCUUGACAAAGCAACUUAAAGAAGAAUGGGUUUAUUUUAGCUCAAAAUUCCAGGUUACAGUCCAUGACUGCAGCAGGAAUGUAAAGCAGAUCCAGAGUCAAGAGGAGAAAGAGCUCAGAGAUGGCGGCACACUCCUUUAAUUCCAGCACUCAGGAGGCAGAGCCAU